GAGUCAUCGUUGGAGAUGAGCAGCUGACUUUGUUGCAGGUUUUUUUUGGAGCACAGAGUCCAGCACAUUUUGUGGAAGUCCUGACGGUCAAAGUCGUCUGACACCUGGAGCAAGCACAACAGCAGCUCAUUCUCUACACAUCAACAAUACCAGUCCUGUCUGUGCUGCCUUCACUGCCCUUCACUGCCACAUGGUCAUUAAGAUUCAGGAGCUUCACCAACGCUGUAUGAGGAGCAGCAGCAGCAGCAGCAGCAGCAGCAGCAGCAGCAGCAGCAGCUCUUAUUGAAACUCCACUGAGGUGAAACAAAUGAAACCUGACUUAUAACUACUCAGCUCGUCACCAGUCAAACAAGAGUCUCUGCGUAAACAAGGGGCUUGAGGCUGGUGAAUUACUUGUCACCAAUGAGCUGUUUUGAAGAAACAGUGAGUAGUGAUAAAGCAGUCUAAAAGGGCCUUCUAUAUUUUUCAUGUAUCAAAAUUGUUUUAAUUUUUUAUUUAAUUUUUAAAUUUAUAUCCCUCAGAUUACCUACUUCUCAUCAAAGCCAGUUUUUUUAAAACAAAAAAUGUACAAUAUAAAUCAAAUAUAUUUUUCUUUAACCACAACAAAUACCAUGGAAUUAACAAUAGCUACUACAGACCUACAGCAGACAUUGUUAAAGCAUCUUUUUAACCUGUUAAAUUUAUUUUAAUGUUAUAAAUUGUGAUAUAAAUUUUACAUCUAAGGAGUAAAUCUGAAAUGGAAAUGGUUUUAAACUGCUAAGCAGGAGAGGGUUUAGACACAACAUUAUAUUAAAUAAACAAUUAGAUGGCUCAAAACUGCAUUAAUUUGUGGUACGUGGUUUAGGAUUACAAGUGAACAAAGAACACGUAUUUGUUGUGUGUCUUUCUAAGACAAACACAGACAGAAACACACUCUCAGGACAUCUCAGGGUCACAGAGAAUCACUUAUGCCUGAGGAAUGCUGUGCACCAACAAACCACGAAGCGCUGAGUCCUUCUGAGUUUCAGCGUCAUGAUUGUCUCUACUGCAGAGUCAACAGUUGUCACAGUCAGUGUCAGGUUACUGAGCUGGACUGUUAUACAGUUACUGAACUGACACAGUUCAGACUGUAGGGUAAAAUGUUUUUGUUCACUGCCUGCAUUGUUACUAACAAAGGGUCAGUGAGGCCAGUGAGUUAGGACAGACACACGUCACAUAAAGACACCUCUGCCAUUGUUCACCUCUGAAGCCGAAUGUGGUGCUUAGUCAUUAGGUUGAUUCUCAUUUUUUUUAUAGUUGUCUGUGUGUGUCUUUGUGCUCUCAUCUGACCUUAAAAUGCAAAAUAUUACAAAUCUCACACACUGCGUUUAUAUGCACUACUGCACAUCUGUAAGGAGUGCAGCUUACUUCAAUUAUUAAUAUUAUUAUCAGUAUUAGCAGUAGUGGUAGUAGUAUUAGUAUUGUUAUUAUUAUCAUCAUCAUUAUUAUUAUUGCGUUUUAGCCCGUUAGCAAUAUGCAACAAAUCUGUACCUCCGUAAAGUGUUAAUUAUUUAUCGGAAAUUCUGAAAGUUUGACCGCUAGGACAACAAUGCAUCACUCAAAAUCUAUCCAAAAAAAGUUAAUUACUGAGAGGUCUGGAUAAAGCCCCAUAGGUGCACAAAUUUAAAUUAUUUUUUAAGUUAAAGUCUGGUUUCAAUAUGCACAUUAAAAUGAUCCAAACUACCAAAAUACGUAUUACAAAAGGUAGUUAAAAUACUCUCACUGUAAAAAAAAAAA